rnacentral:rRNA from 1 species
CCCUUAGAUGUUCUGGGCCGCACGCGUGCUACACUGAGUGGAUCAGCGGGUCAGGUUGCGCGAAAGUGUUUCCUAAUCUUUAAAUCCGCUCGUGAUGGGGAUUGACGGUUGCAAUUUUCCGUCAUGAACAAGGAAUACCUUGUAAGCGCGGGUCAUCAUCCCGCGCUGAAUACGUCCCUGCCCUUUGUACACACCGCCCGUCGCUCCUACCGAUUGAGUGGUCCGGUGAGGCUUUGGGAUCUGAGCGGAAAGAGCGUUUCGCUGUUUCUGCCCGGAAAACUCAGUCGAACCUUAUCAUUUAGAGGAAGGAGAAGUCGUAACA